GGGUGCAGCGACGUCCGCUGCAGGCAUCGCGACGGUCGGGCCGCCGUCG
rnacentral:ncRNA from 12 species